rnacentral:rRNA from 1 species
AGAGUUUGAUCAUGGCUCAGAACGAACGUUGGCGGCAGGCCUAACACAUGCAAGUCGAACGAGAAGCAAUCUUCGGAUUGUGGACAGUGGCGGACGGGUGAGUAAUGCAUGGAUAUCUACCUUAUACUGGGGGAUAACAUCUGGAAACAGAUGCUAAUACCGCAUAUUCCAUAUUGGGAAAGCUCCGGCGGUAUAAGAUGAGUCCAUGUCUGAUUAGCUAGUUGGUGGGGUAAAAGCCUACCAAGGCGACGAUCAGUAGCUGGUCUGAGAGGAUGAUCAGCCACACUGGGACUGAGACACGGCCCAGACUCCUACGGGAGGCAGCAGUGGGGAAUAUUGGUCAAUGGGCGCAAGCCUGAACCAGCCAUGCCGCGUGAGUGAUGACGGCCUUCGGGUUGUAAAGCUCUUUCACUAGGGAAGAAUUAAUGACGGUACCUAGAUAAGAAGUCCCGGCUAACUCCGUGCCAGCAGCCGCGGUGAUACGGAGGGGGCGAACGUUGUUCGGAUUUACUGGGCGUAAAGGGAUCGUAGGCGGUCUUUCAAGUCAGAUGUGAAAUCCCAGGGCUCAACCUUGGAAUUGCAUUUGAAACUGGGAGACUAGAAUCAUGGAGAGGAUGGCGGAAUUGCCAGUGUAGAGGUGGAAUUCGUAGAUAUUG